GGCAGUUAGCUCAGCUGGUUAGACCAUGGUGCUGAGAACUCCAAGGCUGUGGGUUUGAUCCCCAUAUGGGCCA